ACUUUGAUCACAAACUGGAUUAUCUUAGAUUUGAGGUAAGAAUCUGAAAGAAUUAGGUAAUUGUUUUCUAAUUAUUUGAAGUCGAUUUGGGGGAUGGGCCGAAAGAAAUCAUAAA